GCUAAUUUGUCUCUGUCCGCCUGCAUAUAACAGGGAAGAGGGAACAAAUCAAAGUUUAAAAAAAACAACGGAAAAGGGUCUAAAACGUCCCUCAAGUAUUUGAAUUGAUACAAAAUUACUCUCCAUCCACCUUUCAGCCUUGAAAUACCCCGGCAUCCACUUAAAAUGAAUUCGACGGAUUGUAUUUGAUUUUGACACCUCUAAUUUAUGGUAAACUUUCUAUUUUUGGGCAACAGUAACUAUGUGCGAAAUAACAAAGAUAUGAAAAGCAUAUAGUUACCUUUCUUUCUUGUAACUUGUCAAAAAUCUUAGCUCGAGCUUGAUUUUGCUCGUGUAUCAAAUUUAUUGCUCUUUCAAUUUCACGGCUUUUACUUGAUGCCAUCUCAAACCUGAAACCACCACAUCAACUUUCU
rnacentral:lncRNA from 1 species